UACGAAGGGGGCUAGCGUUGUUCGGAAUCACUGGGCGUAAAGGGCGCGUAGGCGGCCGAUCAAGUCGGGGGUGAAAGCCUGUGGCUCAACCACAGAAUUGCCUUCGAUACUGUUUGGCUUGAGACCGGAAGAGGUAAGUGGAACUGCGAGUGUAGAGGUGAAAUUCGUAGAUAUUCGCAAGAACACCAGUGGCGAAGGCGGACUCACUGGCCCGGUACUGACGCUGAGGCACGGAAAGCGUGGGGAGCAAACAGG
rnacentral:rRNA from 1 species